rnacentral:sRNA from 1 species
CUUGUGUCCAGUGGCAACAAGAUGAUGGUGCAGAUGAUUUCUGAUGCCAACACAGCUGGCAAUGGCUUCAUGGCCAUGUUCUCCGCUGCUGAACCAAACGAAAGAGGGGAUCAGUAUUGUGGAGGACGCCUUGACAGACCUUCCGGAUCUUUUAAAACCCCCAACUGGCCAGACCGGGAUUACCCUGCAGGAGUCACUUGUGUGUGGCACAUUGUAGCCCCAAAGAAUCAGCUUAUAGAAUUAAAGUUUGAGAAGUUUGAUGUGGAGCGAGAUAACUACUGCCGAUAUGAUUAUGUGGCUGUGUUUAAUGGCGGGGAAGUCAAUGAUGCUAGGAGAAUUGGAAAGUAUUGUGGUGAUAGCCCACCUGUGCCAAUUGUAUCUGAGAGAAAUGAACUUCUUAUUCAGUUCUUAUCAGACUUAAGUUUAACUGCAGAUGGGUUUAUUGGUCACUACAAAUUCAGGCCAAAAAAACUGCCUACAACUACAGCACAGCCUGUCACCACCACAUUCCCUGUAACCACGGGUAAGUUUUCCUGUU